GGCAAGAGGGGGCAGUGCCCCCCCCUGGGACCAGGCCCGGACUGACCAUCUGUUUAUUUGCCCUAGGGGCCGCUCUGUAUUUUUGUAAAGUCAGCCGCUCCUGAUCUAUAAUGUUUAUUUCAAACUGUGGGCUCUAGGACUGCUCCUCCGUCCCAGCUCCCACUGUGGCUCCGCCCCUUCCACUCGUCUCCGUUCUCAUGCUGUGCUGUGUGCAGGCCUGCCUGCCUGCCAUCAGGGGGGAACAAGGAAGAAAGGAAGUACAGGAACUGAUGUGGUAGAUCUCUAAGAGCUGUGCAGCAAGAACUCAUCAGGAUAUCUGCUGGAAGAGAUCCGGUCAUCGCUGAGAUGGAGGUGAAUGCGGCCCAAGGGGUGAAAAUCGGAGCGACGAAGAGGAGAGCCAUGAUGCCCAGGAGGUUCCGGGAAGAGACAGAAGGCUCGGCAGGGGACAUCGCUAGGCCCAAGAAGAGGGUAAGUUGUUCCAUGCAGGUCAGGAGUCAGUCAGCGAGAGGUGGAUGCGGCAGAAGAGACGUCGUCGUCGGCGAAGAGGAGGAAGCACAAAUGGUACCCCUCCCCCCUUUUCCAUUGGGUGGCGGCAGUGCGGCUCCAGGAGAAAAGACGGUUACAGUGCAGGCCUACCCUUUGGAGAGUCACUAGUGUGGAGCAGACUUUGACUGCACGGUCUUGUCUGAGUCAUGCAAGGGGCUGGGGUUAGCGCCAGUUAUGCACACGGUUGGGAGCAGGAGGAUGGGCGACUGAUUGGUCACAGAGGGCGCUUGGCCCCAUGAUCCCUGCUCCCUGUGGUUGUCUAUUACGGUGUGGGCACAAUGCCCAGGUUGGUGAUAGGAGCCGCAGCUGGGGGUCAGGGGGUACCUAGUCCUUUUUUAGCAAAAAGUAAUAAAUAAAGAAAGUGACUUCCACACAUAUUUUGCACCAA